AGAACGAACGCUGGCGGCGUGGAUAAGACAUGCAAGUCGAACGCUGGGUGUUGGGUAGCAAUAUUCGACAUUUGGAGUGGCGUAAGGGUGCUUAACACGUGGGUAAUUUGCCGCAAAAUCCGGAAUAACCCCGAGAAAUCGGGGCUAAUACCGGAUGUGACCUCCUGGGGGCAUCCUUGGGAGUUGAAAGCUGGGGACUGUUAAAGGCCUGGCAUUUUGCGAUAAGCCCGCGGCCUAUCAGCUAGUUGGUGAGGUAAUGGCUCACCAAGGCUUGGACGGGUAGCUGGUCUGAGAGGACGACCAGCCACACUGGAACUGAGACACGGUCCAGACACCUACGGGUCGCAGCAGUCGAAGUAAUUUUUCGUCUAAAGUGGGGGAAACCCUGGAAGGAGCGGACCGCCGG
rnacentral:rRNA from 1 species